rnacentral:rRNA from 1 species
CGAGGAAUAUUGCGCAAUGGGCGAAAGCCUGACGCAGUAACGCCGCGUGAGGGAUGAAGGCCUUCGGGUCGUAAACCUCUUUUCGAGGGGAAGAGUGAGGACGGUACCCUUGGAAUAAGUCUCGGCUAACUACGUGCCAGCAGCCGCGGUAAAACGUAGGAGGCGAGCGUUAUCCGGAUUCACUGGGCGUAAAGCGCGUGUAGGUGGUUCGCCAAGUCGAAUGUGAAAGCCCCUGGCUCAACUGGGGGAGGUCAUUCGAUACUGGAGGACUUGAGGGUAGGAGAGGAGAGUGGAACUCCCGGUGUAGCGGUGGAAUGCGUAGAGAUCGGGAAGAACACCAGUGGCGAAGGCGGCUCUCUGGCCUGCUCCUGACACUGAGACGCGAAAGUGUGGGUAGCAAACG